CGAGAAACUGUUCGGGACUCGCUCGCGCGACCAGUCGACGCGCAUACUCCCUCGAAAGAGUUAGGAGUGGGGUCUGUGACGGAGUGGGGUAGGGUUGUGAGACUAGGUAAUACGGUCGUCGAGUGUUCGAGUAGAUCAAGGAUCUAUAGGAUCGAAUGUACUAACCGAGAAUCGUUGACUAUCCGUCUUUUUAAUCCUCCAUUGUAUUUAUAAAACGAUAUCACAAACGUACAUAUGUACACAGUAACAUAUGGCCGACGGUUGGGAGAAGAAAGAAGAAUAAUCGAUAGAGUUUCCUGAUAACGGCGUACAACGUGACUGAAAAUUGUCUCGGCUGUUUUGUUACUUAUGUAUGUAUAUAUGUAUGUAUGUAUGUAUGUAUGUAUGUAUGUUGUAAGUACAUACGAUCGUGUUCUAACCAUCGUUUAAAGGAAGGAAAUACGUAACCGCAAUGAAAAUGACGACGUUGCCACGACUUAUAAUAAACAAUGAAUUAAGUUCAAGUAUGAAACUCUAUUAAAUUUAUUUAUGUAUACUUAUGUAUUUAUUUAUGUAUAUACUUAUGUAUACUAUGUAUUUAUUUAUUUAUUUAUAUAUGUACGUGUGUAUGUAUAUACAUAUGUAUGUAUGUAUAUGUAACACAAGUCAGAAAGAUAAACAACGCUCGUGGAAAUUUUUGGUUUUGUGAUGUGUGUUUUAUUUAAUGUCGAAUAAUCAUUUCUUUUUUCUUUCUUUUUUUUCUCUCUUUUUUUUUUUUUUUUUUUUUUUUUUUACACACCGACACACCUAUAAAAUUUCAAGGGGACGAUAAUCACCAUGAAGUUCUCAGGAAAUUUUAUAGUCCAUUAAA